rnacentral:lncRNA from 1 species
CACAAUUCCACAAAGAGGAAUUAAAACUAGGUGUUCAUGGAGAACACAGAAGAAUGUCAGCCACCUUUAACUAGACUUGAAUACAAAUAAAAUAUAAGAUUUUACAUUUGAGAUGCUGAAGAGUCCCAGUGUGAUAACUGUCUUCAAUCAAUUAUAAGGACACUAGUACAAGAAAAUAUAUAUCCUGGCUUAAAUUAGUGUAGAGCAAGAAGAGGACAUAGAAAUUGGCCCAAUUAAAAGAAAAAUGCAGAUUCAAUAUUAUAAAGUGUGGUUAUGAACAGCAUGAAUAAAUAGCAUUAUCCCAAACAGAUCUUAAGUUUGGACCAGAAGAGUGAUUCUCCAAAGCUACAAUGGACAGUAGAGCUAGUGACCAAGUGAGAACAUGGAUUUCUUGGUGCCAGAUAUCAACCUUUUAUGAUCAGGCCCAGUGGUCCUAGAACUGAUGAUGUCACCCCAUAUGAAUUCUGGAGGACAUAUAGAUACCAGAGGAUACUUGUGAUGUGGCACUGCCAACUUAACAAAUACUCAAGGUUGAAAUGUAGAAAGAAUCAAGAUUAUGACCCAUUAACCAAAGUCUCAGACAUACAUUUCAGAGAAUGGAAGCAUAAAGAGGAGGGUAAAGAAAGUCAUGGAUGAUGAACCAUAUUUACACUAUUUACAUAUUUUAUAUAUUAAUUUGCCAACUUGCUUGAAAAAUACACAUAGUAAUGUUUGACAAUUGAAAUAAAGUCAUAAUUCCUAAUAUCA